rnacentral:lncRNA from 12 species
CAGCCCAAACAUCAUCCCACACCUGUCUGUCCCGUUUGUAUCAGCCGGAUCCUGCUCCCUUCAUCCCGUGCAUCGCCGGACAGCAUCGGUCCACACCCCCGGACCGGACCGGUGUCCUUUCAAACCACGAGAUCAGUUCUCAUUGGUCCUGAUGGUUGUGAGGGCCCGUCUCCGCUUAACCAGUCCGCACAAGAGAGAUGUGACAUCCAAUCACACGCUAAGAUUUCUGCAUUCUGGAGCUGUUAGGACACAAGCCACACCCAGGUGAGCUACAUUUCAUUAAGCUAGUCUGCUGUAAAAGAUGCAGGUGUAACAAAUGGAUGCAUCCAGUUGUGACAGAAAGCAUAUUUUCAAUUAGAAACACCCAGGGAUUUAUCUUUCUGAAGAUGCUGAGCUUUCAAUCCCUCAGGGAUUAGAGCUGCUGUGGCUUUGAUUGUGAAUCUGACUGAAUGAAAACCAUACCUGUUUGAUUUUCCUUGCACUACGAAAACAGGUAGUUCGUGUUAAAGGAAUACUUCAUCCAAAAAUGGAAGUCAGGUAUAAUUGUCUUUUUUUUUGCUUAUGAUGUUCAUAUGCUAUUUUUCCUACAUUGAAAGUGAGCAAGAGGUCACAUUUGCUCCUAAAAGGACAUAAAUGCACCAUAAAAGUAGUGACUAGACUAUGACUAGAGCGUGGUACGUUAGCUUUGUGUGAGGAACUGGCAAUGGAACUGGAAAUUUAAGUUCCCUAUAAUUUCCCUUAAAGCUGCCAAUCUGAUAGUGAGGUGUGAUCUGUGUUAAAACUGAAAUAAAUAAAUACAUUUACAUCAUUUUCAGC